ACAAAGGCUCUUCUUAGGGCCACAAAUUAGAAAAACAAGAGCCCCU
rfam:Stegodyphus mimosarum contig78779, whole genome shotgun sequence.